rnacentral:rRNA from 1 species
UACGUAGGGGGCAAGCGUUGUCCGGAUUUAUUGGGCGUAAAGAGCGUGUAGGCGGCCAUACAGGUCAGCUGUGAAAAACUCGAGGCUCAACCUCGAGACGUCGGUUGAAACCGUAUGGCUAGAGUCCGGAAGAGGAGAGUGGAAUUCCCGGUGUAGCGGUGAAAUGCGCAGAUAUCGGGAAGAACACCCCGUGGCGAAGGCGGCUCUCUGGGACGGUACUGACGCUGAGGAGCGAAAAGCGUGGGGGAGC